ensembl:lncRNA
UCAAGAGGUACAGCAGGUAAGGCACAACAGAUGAGGACAAAGUAGUAAGCUAUGGCUCUAAUGAGGGAAUGUUGAACAGAUGAGCAGUCCUCACUAAGACAUGAAAACAAGUUUGUGUGUGUGCGUUCGUGUGUAAAGUUGUGUGAUUGUAAAAGGCUAUCUGAGCUACCCCUGGCCCACUUCAGUGUCUAUUUACUCUUAUAGUGAAAAUAAAGUAUGCCUUGUGUCACUGCAAAUGUUUUUAUAUAUCAGGACUUAAUAAAAAAUGAUUAGUUGCUUCCACUUCUUGAAAUUAGAUAAAUUUAUAAUUUAAAACAAAACCUAAGCCAAAGUACAGACACAGUGUUAAAAAACUAAGUGCAUCACAUGAUUUGAUGGUUUACAGAAACACUGUCAGCAGCAACAAUCUUUUUCCGUAUCACUCUGUCACUUUUGUGGAAAAAUCUUGGCCCACCCUUAUUUCUUUCUGUCUUUUGCAGUUUCUUUCAGUGUUGGGCAAUCUGAAUUUUGGGGGAAGACUGGCGACUGUCAUGAAUGUUUUCCACAGGAAUAAUGGAUUUAAAAUUGUUUGGAAAUGGCCUGAAAACCUUUCCUAGAUUACAGCAAAAUUUUCUGGCAUAACUUCAUCUACUUCCAAGUAGGUAGGAGGUGCGUGGAGAGGAUGAAAAAAUCACAACGCUGGAACUACAGCAACGCUUAAAGGGAAGAGGAACAACUUUAUUCACCUUUCCCAGAUUGAAAGGUAGCAACAGUUACUUCCCUAAGACCUUUCCUGAUGUCGUUCCACCUCUGAACUGUGUUGAAAUCAGAGUUAUUAUAGUUAUUAUAGUUAUUAUACAUUUUCCAAUUAGUUAUUAUUUGUAUUUCAAUUUGCCUUUUUGUUUUUAAUUCAGUUUUAGUUUCAGGUUUUUUUUUUCCGAGUGGAUUUUCUUAUUUUUCGGCUGACUUUUUAUUAUUCAAAAUGUUACUUUUAGUUUAGUUUUUAAUAGUUUCUGUGUUAGUUUUAGUCUUUUAGGUAUGGAGGGAAUAUGUCAGAGGAAAAAAAGUAUGAAAAUCUGUACAGUUAUUACAAUAGCAUUACUGCACUUUUUGAAAGCAGUUGACUCACAUCCACAGUCUCAAUACAGACGUCAAUCAAUGCAUCAUUGGGAAAGUUGUAACAAACUUUUUACAGACGCUAAAACUAAGGAUAAUUUCUCUAUACUUUUAUUGUAGUUUUCCAAGUACACAUAGUAGCCUUUUUUUUCCAAAAUCCUAGUUUUUAUUUGUAAUUUAUUUAACGAAAAUGCAUUCUUGCAUUCUAGUUCUUUUUAGGUAAAUAAUGGCACAGUGUAAUAGAACGUCAUGUGUUAUAGAUGAGCUCCGAAUGGUCUUUGAAGCUUAAACUAAUUUAAGCAGGAAACACUGAUCCUGAAUUAGCAAAAGUUUACCCUGAUUUUUUUCAUCACCUAGCAUCAACUUCCAAUCAACAAACACUUAUAUGUUUAUUGAUUAAAGCAGAAAAUAUUUCUAUAUUUCCUGCUUUAAUCAGGUUAAGAUUCAAAGACCAUUCCGAGCUGAUCUCAAGCUCUCGCACAUCAUCUCCCAUGUUGAUCGACAGCUCUGUUGGAUAAUUUCACUAUAAAAAGCCGUUUUCAUUCUCAUGUGUCAGUUCUCAG